GACAGCAUGUGCAUUUGUUUACAAAUCUGAUUAAUCACCACCACUAAUGGUUCAUCUUGGUCCUGAAAUCCCAUCGCUGGCCAGAGAGAAGAUGAAGACUUGGACUUGGAUCCUGCUCCUUAUCCUGAGUUGCCUUCCAAAUGUGUGCCAGGGAGCGGUUGUCACUCAGAAUGAAAAGUUGCUACUAGUGUCGCCAGGGGAGUCAGCCAUCAUGAGCUGUAACCAAAACGAUGCCAGCAACUACUACAUGUACUGGUACCAACAGAAACCAGGAGAAGGACUAAAGCUUAUUAUUUUGUCCACUGGAGAAGGUGAAACACAGAAUAUGGAACCAGACUUUCAAUCAGACUGGGAGCUUGAGAGAAAAGACACUCACAAUUCGGUUCUACGGCUUAAAUCAGCCAAAACAGAGGACUCGGCUGUGUAUUUCUGUGCAUGGAGUAUACACAACAACAAAACCCAGGGAAGCAGCUGGCAUAAACUCCAACCACGGAGGGAGCAUGAGGGUGCUCUAGAAUAUAUUUGCUGCUUCACAGUAUAA